AGCAGUCGCGCGGGAAAACGAAGGGGGCUAGCGUUGUUCGGAAUUACUGGGCGUAAAGCGCGUGUAGGCGGGUCCUUAAGUCAGAGGUGAAAUGCCAAGGCUCAACCUUGGAACUGCCUUUGAUACUGGGGAUCUUGGGUCCGGAAGAGGUAAGUGGAACUGCGAGUGUAGAGGUGAAAUUCGUAGAUAUUCGCAAGAACACCAGUGGCGAAGGCGGCUUACUGGUCCGGAACUGACGCUGAGACGCGAAAGCGUGGGGAGCAAACAGGAUUAGAGACCCGAGUAGUCCCUGUCUCUUAUACA
rnacentral:rRNA from 1 species